rnacentral:rRNA from 1 species
GUAGUUGGAUUUCUGUUAAUAAUUUAUAUAAAAUAUUUUGAUGAAUAUUUAUAUAAUAUUAACAUAAUUCAUAUUACUAUUUUUUUUUUUAGUAUAUGAAAUUUUACUUUGAGAAAAUUAGAGUGCUUAAAGCAGGCAUAUGCCUUGAAUACUCCAGCAUGGAAUAAUAUUAAAGAUUUUUAUCUUUUUUAUUGGUUCUAAGAUAAGAAUAAUGAUUAAUAGGGACAGUUGGGGGCAUUUGUAUUUAACAGUCAGAGGUGAAAUUCUUAGAUUUGUUAAAGACAAACUAAUGCGAAAGCAUUUGCCAAGGAUGUUUUCAUUAAUCAAGAACGAAAGUUAGGGGAUCGAAGACGAUCAGAUACCGUCGUAGUCUUAACCAUAAACUAUGCCAACUAGAGAU